rnacentral:rRNA from 1 species
CUGGCGGCGUGCCUAACACAUGCAAGUCGAACGAUUCUUUGAUUAUAGCAAUAUUAUUAAAGAGGAGUGGCGAACGGGUGAGUAACACGUAGAUAAUCUGCCUUCAGACGGGGACAACUCAGGGAAACUUGUGCUAAUACCCGAUGAGACCACAAGAAGGGAUUUUUUGUGGCCAAAGGCGGGCAGCAAUGCUCGUGCUGAAAGAUGAGUCUGCGUCCUAUCAGCUAGUUGGUGGGGUAAAUGCCUACCAAGGCUAAGACGGGUAGCCGGCCUGAGAGGGUGAACGGCCACACUGGGACUGAGACACGGCCCAGACUCCUACGGGAGGCAGCAGUGAGGAAUUUUCCGCAAUGGGCGCAAGCCUGACGGAGCGACGCCGCGUGAGGGAUGACAGCUUUCGGGUUGUAAACCUCUUUUAUUAAGGAAAAAGAUCUAUAUGCUAAUAUCAUGUAGAUUUGAUGGUACUUAUUGAAUAAGCCCCGGCUAACUACGUGCCAGCCGCAGC